GGGAGCGGGCUUGCUCGCGAAGGGGCCGUCAGGUUCAACACCUAUGUCGACCGUUAUACCGCCUUCGCGAGCAAGCCCGCUCCC
rnacentral:ncRNA from 2 species